AAAGACCCUAUGAAGCUUUACUGUAACUUGAAAUUGAAAUUGGACUUUAUUCGCGCAGUAUAGGUGGGAGGCGUUGAUUAUAAUCUUGUGGGAUUAUUGGAGCCAUCAGUGAGAUACCACUCUUGUAAUGUUAGAUUUCUAACUUUGAAUCAUGAUCUGGUCAAAGAACAGUUUCAGGCGGGCAGUUUGACUGGGGCGGUCGCCUCCUAAACGGUAACGGAGGCGUACAAAGGUUUCCUCUGAACGGGUAGAAAUCGUAUCUAGAGUGUAAAGGCAUAAGGAAGCUUGACUGUGAGACCUACAAGUCGAGCAGGGACGAAAGUCGGUCUUAGUGAUCUGACGGUACUGAGUGGAAAGGCCGUCACUCAACGGAUAAAAGUUACUCUAGGGAUAACAGGCUGA
rnacentral:rRNA from 1 species